GGGACCCCCAGGGCUCUCAGUACCCCGGCUGUGCUGAGGCCGCAGCUCCAGCCCUGACCGGACCCCCACCUCCGACUGCCGAUGAACCUCUGCUCUUCGAAGCCAAGAAGUCAGGAAUAGGUCUGACUGCAGUGAGCAUCCAGCUUGGCUCUCAAAGCCUGAAGCAGGUGGGUUACUCCCCAUCUUUCUGCUCCUCCAUCCUGGGCACGGGGUCUUGUCCUCCUGCUUCUUCCUCACGGUCCAGGAUGGCUAUGACUGCAGACACCAGCCCACAAGGAAGAUCGCCAGUGAGAGAAGAUGAAGGGCAAAGCCUCUGUUGUCGUGAGGCUCUGUCUUUCCAGGACUGAAGACCCUUCCUCCCAUCCAGCACAGGUGCCCAACCUCAGUGCUGAGCCCCGGGGCAGCUGUAGGAAGACUGGACCCCACCCCUGAGCUCUCGAGGUGCCUGCUGGUGAAGCUGUGCGCGCAGCGCCCCCUGGUGGAAGGAGCUGCAGCGACAAGCCGCCGGCACCCAGGUCCCCCGGCACCCAGGUCCCCCAGCCAUGCCUUCUGGGCCACGAGGAGCAGGUGUUUCCCCGACACUUGAAGGGAGGACAGCACAGCCCUGCCCCAGGCCCAGGCCAGCUCUUCUCUGGCCAGAGUCGGGUCUGAGAAAGGCGUGCAGGAGCCAAGUUCGAUCCCAGGGACCCAGGCUGUGCCUCCCACCUGUCCCUGGUUUUCUCACCUGUCCAGUGCGGGGCGCAAGUGCAUGCAUUUCUGUUGAGCAGGUGGUGAAGAGCAGAAUGGCGGAGCCAGGGGGGUUCCGUGAACAAGGUGUGGAUGCCCCGGCACAGGGCCCUGCACACGGUGGGCACUCGAUGCAGGACCCACGUGCCAACCCAUGCCGAGGGCCGGGCUCCACUGUGAGGCAGGAGCUCCCCACUCCGCCUCCUCCCCAACCUCCUCUCAUCACCUCUUACCCCCACCCGGUCCGAGUUCUUCCCCCCAAACCCCAGCUCCCAGGGACAGCGCUGUCUCAGCUUUACCCUCCCUGCCGUCCAUGCAGCGCCCCUCCUGGGAGGCUUGCUCCAGAUAUCGUCCAGGAGCCGGACCCAGCACACCCGGGGGACCCCUCUCUGUGCCCUCCUUCCUCCCAGGACCUUCCCCCGCAGGACGGGGCUGCUGCAGAUGCAGGAGGGCAUCUUUCUACAAGCCAGUGGGAGAGAUCGCAUCUGUAUUCCAGAGCCUGGGGAAGACUGAGGCUCUUCAUUUCUUCAAGGAAAUUGAGGAGCAGGCUUUAUGGGGCCACUCACCCAGAGACGUUGGCAGGAAGAGAAGUGGAGGCACCCAGGCUCCCUCCUCAUCCCAUGAAAGGCUCACUGGGCCUCAGGCAUUUGCCGGACCCCUGUGCGGGGCUGCGUGCCAGAGGAGGGGCCCUGCUCCUGUUCCUUCUCACAGGGCGAAGGUGUCCAGACCGUGGGCUCCAGAUCCCCUAAAUGUCCCUGACUUUGCUCAUCUGUAACAUGGACGGUGACCCUGAGCUUGUGAACCGCAGAGACCUAGACUCACGGAGGACUGGUGACCUUAGCUCUCGUGCUGCCCAGGACGGCGGGAGGGGACCGAGUUCUCACUUACACACCUGACACUGAAGUGCCUAGAACAUCGGAAAGGAAAUGUGACUCGUGAAACGGUGUAAAGACAGAGGACAGGCCCAAAGCAGGAGAGACCCCGCGUCCUUGGCUCUAAGAUGUGACCUUGUGCCUGGCCAUCGG